UUUCCGUAGGUGAACCUGCGGAAGGAUCAUUACAGUAGUCACCCGGGCUGCCGCAAGGCCGCCCGGGUAACCUACCACCCUUUGUUUAUUACACUUUGUUGCUUUGGCAAGCCUGCCCUCGGGCUGCUGGCUCCGGCCGGCGAGCGCUUGCCAGAGGACCUAAACUCUGUUUGUCUAUACUGUCUGAGUACUAUAUAAUAGUUAAAACUUUCAACAACGGAUCUCUUGGUUCUG
rnacentral:misc_RNA from 1 species